rnacentral:rRNA from 1 species
UACGUAGGGUGCAAGCGUUGUCCGGAAUUAUUGGGCGUAAAGAGCUCGUAGGCGGUUUGUCGCGUCUGCUGUGAAAACCCGAGGCUCAACCUCGGGCCUGCAGUGGGUACGGGCAGACUAGAGUGCGGUAGGGGGAGAUUGGAAUUCCUGGUGUAGCGGUGGAAUGCGCAGAUAUCAGGAGGAACACCAGUGGCGAAGGCGAUCUCU